UACAGAUCAGCUGAUGAACAU
rnacentral:piRNA from 1 species